UUUUGUACCCUUUAGACUCCGUACUCCAAAAAUAGACAUGACAAUUAGCAAGGUCUACUGGCAAAUUGGUGAAAGAAAUUCUUCUUCUACUACUACUAAAAUCAACAUUUUUGUUCAACCAAAGUUCUACAAGAUUAUAUUAUAUCAACAUCAAUGUACCCGUCUAAGGAUUCCUGAAGACUUUGCCAAAAGAUGUUGCAGCAACAUGUUAAGCCCUGUGUAUCUUGAGAUUCCCAUUGGAGAAGUAUGGGAGGUUGAAGUGCAGCAUUAUGAAGGUCAAAUUUGGCUAACCAAAGGAUGGUGAUGGACAGUUCAGCGAAAAGAAAAGGCAGCUUCAUCUUCGUUCACAAGAGAGGGUCAAAACGGCAGGAUUCAGAAGCAACAAUCCAAGAGUGUUUACGAUCAGAACAAGACAGUAAGGAACAAAGAGAGCAGUAUAGCAUAUCAACAAGAAAAAGCUUUUAAAUCUAAGAAUCCGUUCAUUGUAUUUUUUAUGCAACCAUCAUAUGUCUUUACUCCAUUUAAUUUGUUCAUAGCGCUAAAGUUUGAUAGGAAGUAUUUCCUUGAGAAUGAUGGCAAUCUAGUGCUUCGUGUUCCAGGAAGUGGAUUUUGGUCUGUCAAAUGCACUAUCAGAAUAGUAAAUCCUAAAGUUGGUUCUGAUUGGAAGGCAUUCGCACUAGAAAAUAAGUUAAAUGUCGGUGAUGUUUGUGUAUUUGAAGUGCUAAAGGGCAAGCUCUUUGUAGAUGUCAUAAUAUUUCGUGCAGCUGGGAGCACAAUAAUGUGCAAUAUAGUCGCAGAAGUGACAUAGGGUUCUGAUUGACAGACUUGCUUGAUCCUAAUGGAAAAAAAGAUUGCUUGAUCACUUGUUUAGCUACGGAGUAUCUAUUUUGUAAAGAGCUGAGCAUGCUCUACUCUCUCUCUAUUUCAUGUAUUUCAGAUUUUUGAUAUAAAUAUAUAAGAUAUAUGUCAA